UAAAAAUGAAAACUUUGUU
rnacentral:snRNA from 1 species